UAUUGAUGAUGUGGACAAUCUCGAAGCAAACCCUUGAAGCAUUCCCAAGCAUGAUAUAGAUUUUCACCAAGCUUCUGUUUGAAUCUCACUAUCUUAUUGUGAAGUCU